GGUGCAAUGUGAGUUGGACUGGAAGAAUGUCUAUUACAGAUCCUAAUUGAAGUAGCGAUUAUCCAGGCUUGUAUCCUGGGGGCUGAUGAGGAGUAGGGUUUCUGGACAACUUAAACAGAUCCAGAGUUAGUCGAUCCUAAUCUCAAUAAUGGGAGAAAGGGAGUACAGUUGAUAUUCUGUAACUGACAACAGUUCGCGGCAACGCAUACUAUUUUUCUCCGCCAAUCUUAUACCGUUGGUAGGGAUCUCUUUCCUACAUGACAGUACUAAUACCCAGGGAAACUGGUCAUCAGGCGAACUGCGGCGUUCUGCUGGCAAAACAUAGCUUCGGUUAUGUCAAUGGCUAUUGGAUUGGUCCAUGAAGCGAAAAAUAGUUUACUGUGUCACUCGUACCGAUAACCGCAUCAGGUCUUCUAGGUAAGUAGCCUAUGGCCAUUGAGGCAUGAUAGUUCAGGGAAUUCGGCCAAUUAGAGCUGUAACUUCGGGAUAAAGCUUGGCUCUGAUGAAAAUCAGAACCGAUUGUUACGCGGAGAGCCCAACUGUUUAAUAAAAACGUAGUGUCGCGCUGUGGUAGUAUAGCCAGUGAACGCGACAUGAAUCCUGCUCAGUGCUGUGUCUGUUAAUAUGGUUCAAGCCAACGAAGCACCGGUAAAUAGCUGGGGUAACUAUGACUCUUAUCAAAGUAGCGAAAUACCUCGUCACUUAAUUAGUGACCUGCAUGAACGGAGCUAUGAGGUUCUCACUGUCCCAAACUGUCUCUCAGCGAACCAACUGUAGUGGGAACGGUCACUAGAUAUCCAGCGGGGAAAGAAGACCCUGUAGAGCUUCACUUUGGUCUAGUCUUGUAUAGUUCCUGCGGGGGUGUAGACUAGGUGGGAGAGCAAUCGAUUCUGAAAAACCACUACCCUGUUUGGAAUUAUGCUUACCUAUCACAAGGAUAGGACUAGAUAGAAAGUUUGGCUGGGGCGGCACACCUUCGAAAGAGCAGCGGAAGUGUCCUAAGUUGAGCUCAGUGAGGACAGAAAUCUCACGUUGAGGAUAAGG
rnacentral:ncRNA from 2 species